UUAAAAAAAAGGUGCUUGAUGGGAACAUGUAUGUAAAUGGAUGAAAAUGGCCUCUCAAUUGUCAUGUAGUAUAACUUUCUAUAAUAAUAUCCCCUUGAUUAGUUAAUUAUUAAGUUUAAUAUUGACCAUAAAAAUAAUAAUAAUAAUAAUAAUAAUAAUACAUUUAAGGAGAAAUUAUACAUAAAAAGGUCUAAAAUGUAUAAGUUAUAUUACUGAUUUAGCGUCUCCAACCAAUCAAAUUAUUUUUCUUGCGUUCAUCCAUUCCAUCAUGAUUGUUAGGAAAAAAAUAUUUUUAUUAUAUCUUUUUCUCAAAAAGAGAAAUGUGAUAAGUUUGUUAUUGAUUAUCGAUGUGGUGUAAGUGUGACAUAAUAGACUUUCUUCCUGCCGUUACCAUUUCGCCGAAGGCGAUCUCCAACAACUCCAAGGUGACGUAGGCCUCAAAAACGGCAACUUCGCAUAAGUUGGCGCGUCUAUUAACCCAAGACUUUUCGUUUGAUGACCUUUCUUUGUUGACAAUUCCUCGCCGAAGCCGAUCUCCGAUAUUUUGGUCGGAGAUGUCUUUUACCUAAGGAUUUAAAUAUCGUGGCACGGAAUUGUGCUGAAAAUUUACCGACAAGCUACGUGCCGGGUCCUGCCGAUGCGUGCCGAUCACAAAAAAUAUAUAUAUGCCGACACAUAAUGAUAUAAAAUAAGAAAUAGAUUGUUUUGAGUUAUGCCAUCAGUACGUGAAUUGUAUCGUGUCGGUAUCUUGUUGACACGAUACGACACAAUGAAUACGGGUCGUUCGUUCGGACACUCCAAUAGACUAAAUUCUUACUUUUACGAGAGCAAUCAGCUCCCACCGUCUACGUCACGGAGAAGUUGUCAAAGAUAAGCUUUGACGAAGUGGUAACGACAGGGGAGGAGUUAGACGGCUCCCAUCAGAUUUGGAUGCGAGAGAACUAAAAGUCGCGGUUUUCUUUUUUUUCUUUUCUAUUGUAGUAGUUUCUAAAUUUACUUUACAUCUUAUCGAAUAAAGCAAAUAAAAAUAAUAGAAAAAACUUCAAAUACUUUAUGUGAUUUCACUCUUUUUCAUUUUAAUACGCUGUGGUUUAAAGCGUAUCAAGUUAGUACCCUAUGGUUUAAAGCGUAUCAAGUGGGGGGUAGUGACAUAGAGAGUGAAAAGAAAUAAAAAAUCUUGUGAAAACUCAACAUGAUCAUAGUAUAGUAAUUUCUAUUUAACCUCUAUUUCAUUAAAAAUUAAUAUUAUUUUAGUAUAUUUUUCAGUGAUUAACAAUACUUAAAAGUGUUUCAAAUUUAUCUACCAUCAAAUUACAAAACGUCGAUAAAUGAAAAGCCAUCGUGUAUGUACCGACGCUUAUGUCGUGCAUGAUUAUAAAUUUUUUAAAAUAAACGCUUUAAAAGGUCGCAAAAAUAAAAAUAAUAAGCCGAGCGCUGAAAAGAUCACAUGACAACGCUUUUUAGUGCGUCAAUAUUUGCUAUGUAACUAUUAUAAAGUAUUAUUAAAAAGCGUUCUUAUAAUGAAAUUUUAUUGUAGUGUAAGAUGCAGCUUAUAAAUUGCGAGAUAUGUAGGUAAGCAAUAAGAAAAGGAUAGGAACCUGGGGGAGUUCGAGGGCGUCGAGUAGGGCGACGACAUCGCCGACGAGGUGGAAAAGGGUGUAGGAGUUUACCGACGGCGGGGCCGACGUGUCGCCGUACCCGCGGAGGUCCGGCGCGAUGGCCCGGAAGCCGCGGGCGGCGAGCCCGACGAUCUGGUGCCGCCACGAGUACCAGAGCUCCGGAAAGCCAUGCAGGAGCAGCACCGCCGCCGCCGCAUCGUCGCCGCCCUUCUCGGCGACGUGCACGGCGAUCCCGUUGAUCUCGACCGUCCGAUGAACAAUCCCUUCCAUGUAUCUAUAGAUCCUUGAUCUCUUUGAUCUCUCUCACUCUCUCUCUAUAGUAGUGUAAUUUUGUGUACCUCUCAAUACAAUACAACUCUGUGUGGCUUUAUAUAGCGUCUGUGCGCGCAUUUAUUAGUAAAAGUCGUCCAAAAUAUCCGAUAUUUCAUACACAAUUCGAACCCUAUUUGAACCCGAACCGAGCCUAAUAAAAGAUGGAUACUAUACAAGUAAAAAAAAAUACCUAUUAAAAUUUCGAAUAUGGGUCCAGAUACUUUAUAUUCACAUCCGACUUGCAUCCGACCUGAACCGAACCUUUUAAUGGAUAGGGUAUGAAAGAGUUUUCAAAUCCGGAUCCGGAUAUGAUGAAAUACCCGAUAGUAAAUAAAAAAAGUUUAAAGUUGAGGGAACAAUUUGAAUAGAAUUUAUAGAUGAAGAGUCUCUGUAUAUUUUCAUGCUAGUGAAAAUUUUAGUUAUUCUGUUUACACGUCUUUUAUAUUUUUAUUUUACCCCUUAUUUUUAUAGACUAUUUUUAUAUGCAUAUGGGUAUUCAUAUCCGAUCUAAACCUGAUUCAUACCCUGUCUAUGUCCGAUCUUAAGCAGAUAGUAUAUGGGUAGUCAGUAUCCAAACCCACUCAAAUAGACCGGCCCGAUAGGUAUAUUACUAAUUUAAAUAUCCAGAUUCAGGCCCAAUCCAAAAUUAAAUGGGUAAAUAUAUAUAUAUUAUUUUUACCCAUUUCUUUUUAGGAUAUGGAUACAGUAUAUCAAUUACUCAAACCCCAUCCAGUCCAUAGACACCUUUACUUUUUUUGGGUGUAAAAAUGUAUAGUGACCCCUCCACUAUAGCCUAUUUUGAAAUGGACCCAGCCCUAUUAAUUAUUGUUAAAUAAAAACUAUAAAAUUUAUCUAAACUAUGGACCAUUUUGAUUUGGAUAUAUACGAAGUAACUGGAUGAUAUUAUAAUGAUUUUUAGAUUUUCGUAAUAAAAGGGUGUUACAAUUUUGGAUAUGCUUGUCUGAUCAUGGUCUCCCUAUUGAACCCAGCAUUUAUGGAUUACGACUAAUUAAUUAAUAAAUAAAUAAGUAGUCAUCUUCUUCUUUUGACAUGGAGGUUAGAUCUGCUUGUCCCUGUAGGCUGCAGUCUCAUUGCGGAAAAAGUCUAGAAUACAACAGUUAUAUUACUGAAGUAGCGCUUUCAACCAAUCAGAUCCAUCCCUUUGGAUUCACCCAUCCUAUCAUAGUUAUUAAAAAAAAGGGCAAUUGCGCAUAUAUAGGGAUACAUUUUCCGGACCGAAACGGAGUAGCGGUCGGCCAGGCCCGGCCCGGUUUCAAUUUCGGGCUGUGCCGGGCAAGGCCCGAGUUGCCUAGCCCCUCCCCGGCAUAGCCCUUUCGGCGCGAAAGCACGAGCCAUGCCUUGGGGCCCGCCUUCUUAAAAUAUUUAUUUUUUAAAAAAAAUUUAAAAAAUUAGUUUAAAUUGAUUAAUUAUGUAAAAUUUAUAAAAAAUAAAUUAAAUAAUAAAUAUUUAAUUUUUAAAAAUAAUAUAUUUGUAUUUAACGGAGGCGGGGCGGCCCGGGUUUUUCGGGGAGGUAGGUUUUCGGGGAGGAGGGUUCUCGAAGGAGACGCCGGGAAGGAGGGGGGGGGAGGAGUCGGCAGGAGUGGAGGGGGAUGGCGACGGGUGGAGCCGCUAGGUUUUGGGGCCGAGGCCGAGGACCUUGGGUCUGGUGCAGGGCCACGAGGGGCGAUGGGGCGGCCUCGGGACCGGCGCCGGGACCGUGGGCAGAGGCGCCGCGCUGGAGGCGCAAUGGGCGCCUCUCCUCCCAAGGUUAAAGCCUUUGGCGGGGAAAGCUCUUGCCGGGAGCUCUCGUGGGGAGGAAGAGGGCUUCCCUCCUCCCGAGGAGCAUAGGCCCUGCCUUGGGCCUUGGGGAUUCAGGCUGUGCUGGCCCGGCUGGCGCGGCCCAAAAUGGGCCGUGCCUUGCAGGGCCGCCCGCCUCCCCUCGACCCGGCACGUACGGCCCAAGCCCGUUUCGAGCUGUGCCGUGAAAGAAGCAGCCCAGCAUAGCCUAGAGGCUCGGGCCGGGGCGGCCUGUCACAGGUGUUACAGUACCUGUGCCAUGCUAUAGCCCGGCCCGAGGCGCCAGGCGGCCCACGUGCCGCUCGGCCUGUUUUACACCCCUAUGUAUAUACUUAAGAAAAGUUUCCGACUUUCUGAUUUAUCCUUUCUAGAAGGCUAGUAUUAAAAAAUACUCUUUUUUCAUUCCAACUUAGUUCAAAUAUACUUCUAGAAUUAAAUUCUGUUAAUAAACGGUUAGCAAUACUUGUUAUCUCUAUGAAAUUACUAUUUUGCCCUUUCAAAUAUACCUUUCUGCCAUCACCGACUUUUCUUAUUUGCCCUUAAGUUAGAGGCACAAAAAAAUAUUUUGAUUUUUGAUCUAUUAAAAAAUAGCCUACUAUCAUAACCAAUAUUUCUUAUUUGCCCUUAAGUUUAAGGACAAAAGCGUUAUUUUAAUUUUUUAACUCUGAUAGAUAGUUAACUCACAUAUAACUCAAAUUAACUCAACGAAUGAUAACUGAAGGGAUAUUUUGAAAUAACGGAAAAACAUACGAGGAGUCUAUUGGGAAAAAAAAAAAGAAUAAAUAAGAUAUUUUCAAAAUUUUGAGAGAUAUAUAAACAAUUAUUUUUAAAAAAUAUAUAUUUUUAUUGUGCUCUAAAAAGAAGAGAUAUAAUUUGUUGGAAAUAAAUAAUGUUGUUGUUGUUGUUGUUGUUGUUGUUGUUGUUGUUUCGAAACCUAACUUCGGAAAGGACGAAGAAGAUGAUUAGUAAUAGUCCGCGUGAAUCCGGUAGUAAUUCAUGUAUGCAUUGAUUAACUAGAAUCUUGGUCCAUAUUUAGAACUUUAUUUAAAAAACAAGCCAAUCAUAAGUUGGUAGAUUAAUUGCAUACAGGUUUCUACAAAUACAGUGAAUUUCAAAUAUAUUUCUAUAAAGUUCAACUUUUAUAUAUUGUUUCUGUAAAAAUCAUAAUAUUUUCAAAUAUAUCCCUGCCGCUAAAAUCCGUUAGAAAAAAUUAGUUAACCAUAGUUUAAAUAUUUAAUCCUAAUUAGUUAAUGAGAUAAAUUGGCCUUUUUAUAGGGACAAUAUAUAAAAGUUGAACUUUGUAGGGCCGGAUAUAUUCGCAAGCCACUAUGUUUGCAGGGACCUAUAUGAAAUCGACCCUUGUUUUAACUACAUGUUUAUUAUCCUUCUAAUUUUAACUGCAUAGACUCUGCCACUCGGAGCCUGCUGUCGCCGCUCACCCUGUCGCGGCAUGGACGACCUAUCCUCCUGGCGGUAACUCGGUGCUGCUCUGUAAGUCUGCUGAGGUGCUGGUGGAGCUGAAGCUGAUGAUGGUGCUGGCAAUGCUGCUCGGGGACAAGCUGCCCUCAUGUGUCCCGGCUGACCACACCCGUAGCACCGGCCCUCCCUCUGCUCACACUGUCUGGGCCAGUGUGGUCCUCCGUAGAUCACACACUCCUGCGUCCUCUCAGGCUGUCCCCUCUGACGAGAGUCCCUAGAUCGCUGACGCCCCGAGAACCCACGACCUUGUGAACGCGAUCGUAGAGGCCUCUGCGGACGCCUGCUACUCGACUGACCUCCGUCGUCUGGAGCUGGGCGCUUCCUGUCCUGACUCUGUCCAGGCCCCUGAGCCCUCUCCCGCAGCGACACCUCUCCUCUCUCCUCCCAUAAUGCCUGCUCAAUGGACGCAUCCAAAGUCCUCGACCUCUGCGCCCUAACGAACCUGAAUAGGUCGGGUCUCAAACCCUGCUCGAACAAAUAGACCCUAUGUGCCUCAUCUCUGGCCACGAACGGAACACAGUUCAGGAGUCUAGUAAACUCCCGAACAUACUCCUGAACUGUCCGCUCGCCCUGCUGGAUCCUCUUCAAGUCAUCCUCAAUUUUUUGUUUCAUGCUGUUGGAAAAAUACAUCCCAUACAGGAUUCCACAGAACUCAUCCCACCUCAGCUGCGCCGCCACCAGUCCCUGGUCUCACCUCGCUCUCCGCCACUAAUCACGUGCAUCACCUGACAAACAGUGUACUCCCAGUGAUACCUGCUCCCCCUCUGGAACGAACAGAUCCUCAAAUAACCUCUCCAUCGCACUGACCCAUCCCUCAACAACCCAGGCCUCAGUGCCGCUGCCAUCGAAGAUCGGUGGGUCAAAUCGCCGAAAACGAGCUAACCUCUCCGUCCACCGCUCCUGCUCGGCCUCAGUCAACGGUACUGGCCCCCUAGCAGGCGCAACUGGCGCUACUGGAACUGCUGCCGACGGAGGAACUGCUGCAGCUGGUGCGGUCACUGGAGUAGUCGGGGGUGGCACUGGCGACUCUGGUACUCUCGGUGCUGAACUCGGUGGCUGAGCUAUCCUCUCACACAACCUCUGCAAUAACUCCCCCUGCUGCCUCGUCACCUCAGUCAGGGCAGCCAACUGUGCACUCAGAUCAGGGGAUGCGCCAGCCUCAGGUCGCGCACUCGGCUCUACAACAGGGGGUGCACUCGCCUCCGGUCUGUCACUCUGCUCCUGCCGAGCACUCUGCUCCAUCUGCUCAGGUCUCUCAGGGGAUCCCGCACGAUCCCGCGCCAACUGGGCACGCUCUCGCAACGACGGUCGACCUCGGCGACGAUACAUAGCUGAAAGGAACAAAUCGGGGUCAGAUACAACGCAACACUCUCGACCCAAUCAACGAAAGUCUAGAAGGCGGUCCCUGUUUUCCUCCAAAAUUAUGUCGUCUGCAGCCAACAUAAUUUCUCAGGCCAAAACAGAAACUCCUUCAGUCACUCACUCUACUCUAAGAGGAGUUAAAACAAAUAAUCAUUGACUUUCGCAAUAAAAUUACGCCUCUCACGUCUUGCUUCCCUAAGGUUUGCCAAACUUAGGUUUCCUAGGUCCCAACGACCUACAGCAAAGCUCUGAUACCAACUUAAUCUGUCACGCCCCGGAUUACACGUUCCCCGGGCACGCCGACAGAUCCGCCGUAUACAAAGAAAUUUUCCCUGUAUACGAAGCGAUAGCUGUACCUGUAAAUCAAACACUACUACGAACAGUAGUAGAGAGCUGCUAGAGAAAACAGAAGCUAAAUAAAACAGAGUUUCAUAUACAUAGUUCAGAUCCAAAAUACAGAGCUACUCGCACUGGCGAGUUAAGUCAACUAUGUACAUAAACUCGAAACAAAACAUCUACCUGCAGUAGGGCACCUCUAGCUCAGCACGUCGGGUAGGGCUCUAACUCGCGACGCCCUUGCCUCGAUCCUGGUCCGCAGACGGUGCAGCAGCCGGAACCUGUGGCUCUGCAAAAACAUAGGUAACAACUGGGCGUGAGAACUACUGUAAAAACAAGUAGUCCUCAGUGGGUACCGCCCAAAACAACAUCGGUCACCCACUAAGUCUACAGAAGGGAGCAAGGAUAGAAGGAAAGCAGGAAGCAUACUCUACCGCUAUCAUCCACUACACUAUCAUGCUCUACACUAACCAACUGUAGGAAAUGUCAAAUCUGACCCAAUCCAAUCGGGACUGUAAGCAUACCCGUCCCCGGGACUGUGAAUACACCCGUCCCUGCCCCGUUGCGACUAUCAGGCUCUAUCCACACUAACUGGUCCGUGGAGAGCAAGUCCAACUGGCAUGAGCGACACCAACGCGAAAGCACAAGCCUGACUCCGGAGUGGCACUCGUGGGCGCUACCCAACCGAGUAUGCAGCGUAUCUCUGUCGAGCUCAAACAGGCUCUGAAAAGCCAAAGUCAAGAAAUCGACUCUAACUGGUCUAACAACCAACAAGUAACGUGCCCUCAGUACAACCUGACGCCAAAAAGGCGAUACGAGUCCACCGUCAACUCCGACGGCACUCAACAGUCCGGAACAGCCUGAACGCUACUGUAAAAAUUAUACUCGGCAUCCCAGCACGAGCGUAACUGAAAACUAAAUUACCUGAAAUACUCACUAUGAGGAUACUACAAUAGUAUAAAAUAAUACAACGGCCCCUAUGGCUAAAUCAGGUAGUUUAACAUAUGCCAAGUCCCAAACGCUGGUUUUCUCCUAAGUUUAAUUUCAAGUCCAACAUGUAUAUUUAUGGUUACAAGUCAUGCCCUCAAGCUAAUUUCAUUCAUUAUACAAUCGACGAAAUUGAGCUACCACAUGAUUUACAAAAACAGAAAAUCAUACAUGUCGACUACUAUAAUACUUAGGAAUAAACCGAUGUAACCCACCUCAAACGCUAAUCACAAUCCGGUGCGACAUCAAAAACGGCAGAAUCGGACCCUCGCCCGGCCUCCCCACGCAUCAACUACGACGCUCGUGUGCUCGAACGGCUCCCCGGCGCGACGUCGGCGUCGAUCCGAACUCGAUCUGCGAUCUCCACAAAGCCACGCUCAAUGUCUGAGAUGAAUACAAGAUAAUUAAUUAUCUCUCUACAAUGGCUACCUAUAUAUAUAUAGGUUGAGUUGGUGGGGUGAAUAACCAUUAACAACAAAAUUACAGUAAUACCCCCACCAACUCAACCAAGGGUAUUACAAUAUAAAGUUUCAAUUAUGAUUGCAAUAUCAUGUUUUAAUUUAUUGUAUCUAUACUCUUAUUUUGAUCGGACAUAACAUAAAAAUUAAAUAAUCAUAAUUAUUUUAGAUUAUUAAAAUUUGGCACUAAGUUGUUGAAUUAAUUUAUUAUUUUGACUAGUUAGUGCAAGCCAAAGCGGCUAUAAUUAAAAAAAAUAAUGACUUAAUUUUCUUUAAAGAAGCGUUUCUGGAUAAUUUUAUAUUAAUUAUACAAUACUAAGUCAGAUUAAUUUACUGCUUCAACUGUUCGGGUACAAGUCAAAACAGCCUCAUCGGAAAAAAGAAUAAAUUAAUCGUAUUAAAAAAGUAUAUGUAAAAAUUGCAUCCUAAUAUUAUAUUCAGUCUGCUCCCAAAGAAGAUCUAGAUAUAAAGGUAUAUAGGUGGUGUAAGAUGGUAAUUUUCUUAUAACUCGUCUGAAGGAAUUUGACUGACCAAAGCAGAUAAUUUUUUCAUUGGAAAACUUGAAAUUAUCACGACCUGCAGAAAUUUUAAUUAAUAUCUGAUAAAGAGAUUGUAUAUUUAUACUUAUAAUUUUGCUCCCAAAGAAAGGGUUAUGAUGUCGUAUAAAAUGUAUGCAUAAAGAAUGGAAAAUACUUAUACUCAUAACUCUGUUCCCAAAGGAGUUGUUUUGAUGUCAUAUAAAGUAUAUUUUUCUAAUUUUAGUAUAGUAAUAUUUAGAUGUGAUAUUUUAUUAAUAAAACAUGCAUUUUAUUUUAUAUUUCAGUUAUGAGUUCAUCUUUGUUUCUAUUGGUGAUUAUAUUCUUAUGCUUAAUUUACUCUGAAUAGAAAGAACAGAUCAUAGCUACAUUAAGGUGAAUGAAUUUUGAUUUGACUCUAAAAGACGAUAAACCUACUCCUCUUACAUAUAAAAGUACGCAAAUCCAAAUAGUAUUUUCAGAAAAAUAGGAACGCUCUAAUCCGCUUGUUUAAUGUUGAUGAAGGCGCAUGUCAGUAAAAAUUAAUAUUCGAAAUUCAAUUCCAAAAUGUGAGACAGCUUGCGAUUUCUUAAAUGUUAUGGAGCAACAAUUUACAAGCUUCAAUAAAACUUUGACAAGCACCCUAAUGAAUAAACUAUCUUCUAUAAAGUACACCGAAAAUUGCUCAAUUCGCGAUCAUAUUUUGGAGAUGCUGUUGGAUUUUAUUGGAUUUUUGUGAUUUAAAAUUUGUUAGGCCUCUUGGGCAGCCCAAUAAUUAAUGGGCCUUGCUUGGGAGCCAACUAAAGUUUUUAUGUGUAAGGUUUAGUCCCACGUUGAAAACUAAAAAAUUGUUGUUGGUAUAUAUAUAUUCAUUUAUUCUCAAGCUAGUUGUUUGGCAGAAAAUGAGAGUUAUACUCUCAUUUAAAGACACGCACAAGCACGAGCCGAGGCGGACGGCGGCGGUCCAUACACCCGUUUUAUUUUAUUUUAUUUUUAUUUUUUCGGUUUUAUCUUAAUCCUAAUCCUAAUCCUUACCUGUAUAAUCUUAGGCUUAUCUUGUUCUACACGGAUUUGACGCGUUGAAUAAAGAUUCUCGCCUUGCUUAUAUAUAUUGGAGGAGAUUGCGUGGGUUCAACAAAAACCCGAGCAUACCUAAAAGCUAAUCACUACCUCAUCUAGUUUACAAGGUCAAUCAAGUAAUUAAACUCCCAAAUACUUCUUUUUUAAGAAAAAAAGAUCAUAUGCAGAAGGGCAGCCAAAAGUAUCAAAAAUGGCUCUAGAAAAUGGAUCAGUUUCUAAUUUCGAUGUGUAAAUUGCAUUUAGUUACUGUUCCAUCUUAUAUUUGAUGUAUUGACUCGGGUGCCACAUGCUAUGUUGUGAAUUCCGUACAGAGAUUUUAACCCAAACAACAAAGCGUGACGGUGGAAGUUGAUCACAAUAAUUCAAAAAAUUAGGUCAAAAUUUGGCAGGAAAACUCUCAAAGUUGCCUUUAUUGAACUCUCAAAGACACAACAGUACUUCACAUCAAUGCUGUUUGAUUAUGCAGAACACAAACUAAUUAGUCUCACCCAUUCACGAUGGAGAAGCACUUUUGAAAGGGCUACUAAAUUAUGCACUACUGGAACUUCUUGAUGAAGCUGCAGAUGUGAUCAGUUACUUCCUCUGGCCUCUCCUGCUGGAUGAAGUGCCCAACUCCCUCCAAAACAACUACUUCCUCAAGCAAGGGGACAUCAUUCUUGAACCCACCCUUGUGUAUGUAAUCUUGUAUAUUUGGGUAGUGGUAUGUGAGAUCCAGGUCUCCAACAAUGAACUUUGUUGGCACUUGUAUUUUUGCCCCUGCCCAUGGUGCUGUCAGCUCCCAGUUCCUGCACCACCAAAUAAUGUCGAAAAAUUAUAAAAUUUAGUUUUCAAAUAUUUUCAAUAAUAUAGAUCAAGUCUAACGAAGCCGAUCGUCGAUUUGGAAACCGCAUCAUUGAAAACAACUUGGUAACACGGAGGCCUCUAUACUAUGAUAGUAUACCAGUCUAGUUUAUAUAUAUAUAAUAGAGCUCCUAUACUUUUAAAAGUACCAAGUCAUUGGUGCUUGUAAGUUUUUGGCCCUUGGAUUAAGGGAUGUGCCGUUAGGAUGAUGUGGGCCCCCUAGGGUUAAGUGGGUGGUUGGUUGAAUAGUAUAAUCUAACGAGUGAAAAUGUUCAAAGACGUAGAUCUAAUGGUAAAAAUUUACAAACACCAAGUGCUGGGUGCUUGUAAUCGGACUCUAUAUAUAUNAUCUCUAAAUCAUCAAAUCCACAUAUAAUGCAACACAAAAGGAGGAAAAAAAAAAGAAAAGAAUAGAUGGUCAUAAUUAAGACAAUUGCAUGCGACUUCUCCCAGAAAUUUUGGCACUGUUUACGGUCAACUCAACAAAUAAAUUGUUUUAAUUCAAAAAUAUUUAAAUCUAUUCAGUUGACCACUUGUAGUUGAAGCAAAAACUAUAUAUAUUUGCAUUUACACUAUGCUAAAUUUGAGCAUAUUUAAAAGUCAAAUACAAUUCAAUAUAUAAUUUAACAAACAUAUAUAUAUAGAGAGAGAGAGAGAGAGUAUCGGAAGUACAAAAGAUCUUGUGCUUCCGACUUUUUCGCCUUUAGAUUAGCCCCUUUAAUUAUUUCUAAUAUUUGGAUUAAUGCUAUUAUCACGUGGGGAUCACUCAAUCCUAUGGAUACUACUCAAUUCUAGGAGGACCAUAAUCAUCCCAACCGUAUAAUUCUUGAUAUAAAGGUCAAAAAAUCGGAAACAUAAUAGUACAGUAGCUUUACACUAUAUAUAUAUAUAUAUAUAUAUAUAUAUAUAUAGAGAGAGAGAGAGAGAGAGAGAGAGAGAGAGAGAGAGAGCUGAUCUCAGCUUGUGUUUUGCUCAUUAAGAUUCCGAGCUAAAAAAUUCUGCUCACGUUCCGCUCGUUUUCGAGCGAUCGAUCUCGACCUCAUUUUGAGCAGAAUACCAGAUAACUUGAAACAACGAGAUAGAUUGCCAAACCUAGGCAUCAUAGAACAAAGGAUUAAAUUUUCCUCAAUGCUCAAAGAGUAGCUAAGUGUUACAGCAAACUUACAGGUUCAGGCACCUAUAAUAGUUCAUCCCGCCGGUAAAGCCGGUUUUCUCGAACUUGCUCGCAUAGUAGUCGAGGUCCUCUUCCGAGAGCCAAGAAGGUAAUGUGAUCUCUUCGCCGGUCGAACCCCAAUCUUUGUGGGUUAGAGAAGAUCGGUGGGGAUUGCGCAUCGUCAAGAUCUUUCUCAGGACAUUCUUCGUGCCGACUUCUGCGAAUUCGGCUUCUGCAACUCCUGGCUCCUGCACAAACACCUCACAUUGUGAUUGAAAUGCCUCUUUAGAAAUGUAUAACACGUAUUGUUGUUGAAGGGUUCAUUUGUUUUAUCGGUCUGGUACAUUUGAAAAUGCUCUAUAUUUUCUGGAGGUUGAAUUGCACUAAGUAACGAGACCGAUUCGUGAACGAUGCGUCCAUAUAUAAGGAUACUAAAUUGAUACAGUUUAAAACAUACGGUAUUAAAGUGAGAAUGUGCGAAACCUCAGGGAUGGUGUUUGAAGUUACCCUUAACUAAAUAAAUGCUCUGUUUAUUCAUGUUAUUUUUGUGACAUUUGGGAGCCGUUUGGUAGCAUAUAUAUAGUUACAACUACACUACAGUUAUAACUACAUGCAAAUAUAAAUUGGUACUUGAUUUGAUGUAUUUAACUUCAAUUAUUGUAGUGGAAACUGCAGGAGGAGGUCCAAUUGCGACAGUUGGAACUACGCUCAAAUUGACCGCAAUUCCAACUGUUGCAAUUGGAGAAAGUAACUUUAAGCAAAAGAUAAGUUUACCUUCCUAAUUAUUUUUUAAACAAAAAAUAUUUUUUCUUUUUUACAUUAGAGAUAAUCUCACCAUUAUAUAUAUAUAAAAUGAUAAAAUUUUAAAAAUUAUUUCUCAACUGCAUACAACCAAAUAAAUUAUUUGUAGCUGCAUGCAGCGCUUUCCACUACAUUCAACCAAACAAAAUAUAUAUAAUUGCAAUUGUUGCAUUUUCAACUACAUACAUCUCAAAGACUCCAACUACACUGCAUUUGUAAUUAUAUCUACCAAGCGGUCCUUUAAUACUUUUUAAUGUAAGGAUGGUGAGAUUAUCUCCAAUUUUUUUUAUUAUUUAUUUCAAAAAUAAUUAAGAUAAAUAAGGCUGCCACUAUGUGGAUAGAAUUGCGUACUCACUCCAACUACUGCUACAUUUGAUGUCGAUACAAUAAAUCAAACAAUAGAUUUGCACGAGUAUGCAACAUUUAGAUGUCACUGAAACUACAACUGCAUACAACCAAAUAGCUUCUUAGAUAUAACAAUGAAAUUCACCGAGGAGGUGUUUGAUUUGGCGCAAAACAAAGUCAAAAAUUAUUUUGGAUAUAAAAAAAAAUACUUUUCUACUCGUUUGAUUCGAUGUAAAAUAACUUUUUCGUAAAAAUAUUUUUACGGAUUUGCAAAAAAAAAAAUUGAAGUUUUCAUAUUAUGCUAUUUUUCAGCUGGAAAUGAAAACUCUUUAGAGGAGAGUUGAUCAUUACGUACCCUCUCUUUCUCUUUAUAUUAAUAUACUUUUUAUGUAAUAUUUAAUUAAUAAAUAUAGAUAUAAAUUUCAAUUUUUUUAUAUAUAUAACCAAGCAAGUAUGGCUAAGAGAAUAAAGUCCUACAAAUUAAAUAUUAAAGAGGGUAGAAUUUUUUCCCACCAAAAACUCUUUUCUAGCGAAAAUUAUUUUGCAUAGUUUUAUGUUGAACCAAAAAAAAUCCAAAUUUCGAAUUGACAUUCGCUGGCUCCAAAUAUUUAAGCCCGAUUAUUUGAUGUAGACUACUCAGUCUUAUAUACUCCACAUAUUCUUAAUUAUUUGACGUGGACUAUUUUUUUUUGUUUUUUAUCAGUGGCGACAUACACAAAUAAUAAGCAAAUUAAUGAGAAGGGAAAAUAAAAAUAAGCUAAAUUACAUAAAAUCUUCUUAUCAAAAUUUGAUUUUUCAUUUUUUUUCUCCUGUUAUUUAAAAAUCUAUACUUUGCCCCUUGUAAAAUGAAAAAUAUUUACUUCACCCUCUACCGUUAGUGAUACGUUAAGGUUCCGUUAUAAAUAUUUUUUUAUGACAAAAAUAUCCUCCGCCCUAUCUACUGUUGCUUCGCCCUCCUCCGCCUCGCCGCCUCGCCCUCCUCCACUGCCUCGCCCUCGCCCACAUCUCCGUCCGUGCCAAUAAACACCCCCUCACCCUCCUCCGCCGCCUCGCCUUCGCCCUCGUUACCCUUGCCCACUUCUCCAUCCACGUCCAUCUCGAUUUCCUCCCUAUUGUCGCCAAAAUGAAGGGGUGACGAGGGUGCAGAAGAAGAAGGGGAGCAGGUGGAGAAGGAAACAGAAAGAAACCGCGGCCGAUCGAGGCGCGAACGGAGCCGAUCGAGACGGCGGAUGAGCAAAAUGAGAGAGGAGAAGAAAAUGGUGAGGAGAAAAAUAAUUAUUUUAUCAUCACAGUUCAUAUCGUACCUUACGUGAACAUUUUUUAUUUUAUAAAAGGGCAAAAGGUAGGUUUUUAAAUGACAGAAGUAAAAAAUAAAAAAUCGAGUUUUGACAGAAGAAUUGUAUAUAAUUUGGCCAUAAAAAUACACAUGGGUGAGAUAAUUAAUUGAACCUGGAAUCGGCAUAUGUAGUAAUUAUCCCCGUAGAGGCGCUUGAAAUGGUGGACCAGGCUCACGGAGGGGUCGCGAGGCAUGUGCGCCACGCUCGUGUUCACCAGCGCCUUCACUCGGUCCGGUCUAAUCAUGCACAGGGUCCACGCAAUUAGAGCACCCCAAUCGUGCCCCACCACAAACACCUACCAUAUAUAUAUCCAAAAUAUUAUUUUCUUAAAAUAAAUAUCUUAAAUUUAAGGAUUAUUAAUUCUAUACUUAUCACAUCAAUUUUUUUAAAUUUUUACUAAUAAUUUAGUUAAAUUUAACAAUGUUAUUAGUUAUGUCAUGCAUCGAUAAGAUAUAUUCUGAUGCUUUUUGAGAAAAUUACGUGACGGCAUAUUUUACAACGUUAAAGAGCGUUCUUAUAAUGAGAUUUUUUUGCAGUGUAAGGUGCAGCUCAUAAUCUGAUCGAGAGAGAACGAGAAAGAAUAAGGGUAGAAAUUAAACCUGGGGGAGUUCGAGGGCGUCAAGUAGGGCGACGACAUCGCCGACGAGGUGGAAAAGGGUGUAGGAGUUUACCGACGGCGGGGCCGACGUGUCGCCGUACCCGCGGAGGUCGGGCGCGAUGGCCCGGUACCCGCGGGCGGCGAGCCCGAUGAUCUGGUGCCGCCACGAGUACCAGAGCUCCGGGAACCCGUGCAGGAGUAGUAUCCCCGUCCCCGCCCCAUCCACGGGACCCUUCUCGGCCACGUGCAGGGCGAUCCCGUUGAUCUCGACCGUCCGAUGAACAAUCCCUUCCAUGUAUCUAUCGAUCCUUGAUCUCUUUAGUGGUGUGAUUUUGUGUCUCUCAUUGCAAUACAACUGUGUGGUUUAAAAUAGAUAUGUUUGUGUGUAAAAAUGUAUGGCGAUCCCUCAGUUAUAGCCUAUUUCAAAAAAAUUACAAAAUUUAUCUAAACUGUAGACCAUUUUGAGUUUGUUAUUUACUCUUUAAAAUUUUAAUUUUACCAUUCAAUUUCUUAAUUUAUUUUAUUUGAGUCAGUUAACUGUAUUUUGACUUUAAAAUUAAAAUUAAUUAUUUUUUAAUAAAUUUAUAAUUGUAAGAAUUGUAUGAAAUAUAUUAAUUUAACUUGUAUAAAUAAAUAGUGAUGCACUCAAAUUACUUAGCAAGGAGAUAAAAUGAAGCUAAUUACUUAGCAAAUAUAUUGAAGCCUAAAGUUCUAACCAAAAAAAAGGGAAAAAAAAAUAAAGGCCAAUGGUGCUUUUCAUUAGCCAUGCAUUUAUAUAUUUAUACCUAUACCUCUGUACCUAUACAAUAUUUCCCAUGAGGUUGCCAUGCGGCAGUCCCUCUUUCAUCCCUACCUUUUUCGCUCUUCUUAUUUUUUGAUGCUCCGUCUUCUCACCCCAUUUCUACGCGAUACUUCAUCUUCCCACCCGCUUACCUUCCAAUUAAUGUAGUCACACAAUCCAAUUUUAUAUAAACAAAUUGCUUUCAAAAAAAAAAAAAAAUGGUAAAUAAGAUUUCUUCGUACUCUUCUUUCUUUAUUUUUUUUUGUCGCUUGUAAUAUUUUUAAGUUUUUUCUCUUCCUAUUUUUAAAUUGUAUAUGAACUGAAAUUAGUGUUCCGUGGAUUGCGGCGCAGCAUCGUGGGGAAAAGCGGAGAUAGAUUUGGAGUCAAUGAGAGGAGAAAUAAAUGGUAGAUUUGGAGAGAUCCGUACGUACGUGAUCAACGUGGCUGUAACAAAAAGGUGGUCGACGUCAACAAUAGCAGCAAAGAUGAUGUGGAGAUGGAGAUUCGUUUUCUCGAUGUCGGCAGUGCGAUCAAGAUGCAUAUAGAGUAAUAAUUCUAUUUAUUGCUGCUUUUUUUAUUACUAGUUUUAUAAUUUAUUUGCUAAAAUUGUAAGUUUUGUUAUUGUUUCAUCUCUUCUAUUUGUAUAUAUAUUAAUAUAUAUUAUCUUUAUUUAUUAAUGCUUAUGGCAAUUCAAAAAAAUUUAAAAUUUUUAUUUUGUUAAUCUUUUAUCUUCUAUAGCAUCAGUCCGCCGCAAUGCGCGGGUGACUUCACUAGUACUUAUUAUUUGAGAACCCAAAGGAAGCCUACCCGGGUUCGAGGGUCUUCCGAUGGGGCCCACUUUUUUUUUUUUUCCUCCCUCUCACUCUCUCUGUCUCUCUCUCUCUCACUCAGUCACUCUCUCUCACUUUCUUUCCUUUUUUUUUCUCAAUAAUUUUUUUUUAUUUUUGCUUAAAACAAGUAUAAAAUUUUAUCGUAUGAAUCAACACUAUUUUUUAAUAGUCAAUAUAACAAAAUUAAAAUUUCAUCUAAUAAAUAUCAACAUCUUUUUUUUUAUUUUUUUCUACAUCAAGUAUAAAAUUUUAUCGCAUAAAGAAAUCCUAUUUUUUAAUAGUUAAGAUAACAAAAUUAAAAUUUAAUCUAAUUGGGAACCUAAAAAAGACCUUUUUUAUUUUAGAGAGUUGUGUGGCCCACAAAUUUUUUUAGGAUUUUUUUUAGGAUUAAUUUUAUAGUGCUUCUCAAACUUUUCACCUUUUUUUUUUUGUUCCUAAAUUUUUUCAAACCUCUUAAUUUCAUCGCGAUAAAAUAGCAACCGUUAAAAAAUAUUAUAGAAUUAAUGAAAUUAUCAUACCAUCGCCUAUUUGACUUUUUUUGCAUGCCAAUUUUGAUCCCUAAAUUUUGCAUACUUUUUACUUUCGUCCCCAAAACAUAUAUGAAUUAGCAACACUAAAGAAGACCUCUCCUUAUUUUGGAGGGUUAUGGUCCAUACAAUUUUUUAAGGAUUAAUUUAUAUAAUAAUAUAAUAAUAAUAUUAGAUUAUUUAUUUGGUAGUUGAAUUUUUUUANAUCACUUUUGCGUCGGAUAAAAUACGGAAAGAAAGGUAUGCUCAAAAUAUCAAAUGAACUCAUUCCAUAGUCUCAAACUUCGACACAAUCAUACACUCAAUAUAGCAUGCUCAGUAUCAUAUGGUUGUAUUAUAGAAUACGAAAAAAACAUCUUUCCAGAGGUAGAAACUACGGCUGCGAUACAAGUGAGGUAAAAGAUGCGGCGGCAAAAGCGGAAUCAUUCUAUGAACUUUCGAACAAUAGUUCAUAUCCAGAACAUGAAUGAAGAAAGCCUAGCAUUUCUAAAUAAGCAAUACACUUAGUUUUGUAGUUGACGGUAGACGGUCACCUCCGAUCGAAUGGAAGCUGCGUUCAAACUCAGCACUCCAAGUUGGUCGAGAAAGUGAGAGCAUGGCAUUCCAAGUUUCUCAGAUUGAGCUGCAUAAACAUAGAAAUGGCGAAAAAGAUAAUCACCGGCAAAUGCUGAAAAUUUUGUAAAAUAUCGGUAAAGAAUUCAAAAUGGCAAGUUCAUCAUCACCGUACCAGCAUUGUAGACCCAUCUCAAAGAUUAGAAGACCUCAGAGGAAUAGAGAUUUUAAUUAUCAGCUAUCAACCUAAAUCUCCUACUAACAAUGGAGAUGCUCGCCAUAUAUAUAUAUAUCUAUAUAUAUAUAUAUAUAUAUAGGCAAUAGGUGAGGAACACUGAAAUGAUAUAAAGAUUCCACCUACUUAUUUUGAGUUGUCCACACCACACAAGUCCCAAAAAAAGCGAAAACCAAAGAUAAAGUGUGUAUUUUUUUGUUUUUAAAGAGAUAGGUAACAUGCUACCCCCAUCGUUUAUUUUAUUUAGAAAUAAACUUAGCUGGAAAUGUGAAUCAACUAGGAUUUGAAUUUGGGAUCUCGAAUACCAACCUCCUAGUCCUUUGCCACUUGGACGGUCAGUCAUAGAGACCAUAUCAAUUAUAGGCCAUUUUAAAAUAAUCCUUCUAAAUUGUGGUUUAGCUAAAAUAGUCCUCCGCCAUGUAAGCAGAUUGUUUAGCCUAGGGCUGGUAAUCUAGCUUAGUGCUCACAAACUAGAUCAUGUUCGGCUCGAAAUGAACUCGAAAUCAAUCGCUCGUUUAAUAAACGAACAGAAGACACGGGUUGAAUUUUCAACUCAAAAUCUUAACGAGCGAAAUACGAGUUGGGGUUCACUCGUGUUCGGCUCGAUAAAUAUAUUUCUAGUAUUUGAAUUUUAGAUGAGCCCAAAUGUAAAAAACAGAUCUAUAUUUUGUGAAUUUCAAUUAUUAGAUUAAGAUUUUAAAUUUUUUUACUUUUCUGUCAACUCUUCACUCAGUAUUAGGCGUUACAAGCUAGGUUGAUGUUCGCGAGUCAACUCGUGUUCAGUUGAUUAAUAAAUAAGUUGAAUGCGAGCUGAAUAUUUCAAGUUAAUACUUUAACGAGCCAGCUCGUAUUCAGCUCGUUGACGCCCCUAUGUUAAGCUACCUGUUAAUAAUCCUCCUUCAGUACGUAUACAAGUUGCACGCGCGCUUGCAGCAUUGAGGAGUCGAACUCGUGACUAGUUCUGACUCUUCUUAUUGUAUUGAGAAAUCAAUCCACUUAAAAGCAUAAAAAUGCAGCAGCGCCUACGAAUAUCGAUUGUGAUUCUUCUAAUUCGAUCUUUUUCCAACAUGUAUAGAAUGUCGGCGUAUCCUUUAAUAGUAUAUAUCAAACAAACUAUAUAUUUUAGUGAAUUUAAUAUGGAUUUUCUUAAGUUCAAAAGCUUUACCAGAUUUUUCAGCUGCUUGGAAUGUUGAUUUCAUGGAUGUUGAUCAUGCACGACAGCACUAGUGAAUAAAAUGAUGACAAAAGUUUCAAUUUAAUUGAUUGAAAUGUUUAACUCAAAUCAAAAUAAUGGAGAGUUAUUGUGGUAACGAUAAGAUAUGGUUAAAUUAUAAAAAGUGUUGGAAAUCUGAUGCUCACUCUGAUACCAGAUUUUGAGAAUUCGCAGCUCGCUCUGACACCAACUACUAUUAAACCAGUACUCCCUCCGGCACUGUUUGUUGGGAUUUUACAAUGGAAACGUCAAAUCAAAAUUUUCUCAUAAAUCCGUCUUCUCAGCAAAUGUUGUGACAACCACAAAAGAUAUAAGAAAAAAUAAAUAAAUAAAUACCGGUGAAAUAAGAUUCACUAACGAAUAAAGGAGUUACACCCGACUCCUCUUCUACACAGAAUAGUUUCAAUCCGAGCCCUCUUCUACACCUUUAGUCAGACUGUGGCCCAACACAGCCCACAGCCCGAACCGAGCUGGGCCGUGCUGGGCCCCACGGGCAGGCCCAUUUUAUUAUAUUUUAUUUGUUUGUACUUUAAUUUUAAUUUUAAUUUUUUAAAUGUUUUCAAUUGAUUUUAUAAAAUAUAUUUGGUGUUUUAAUUAAAUAAAUAAGAUUUUAAAAAAUAUUUAAGGUUUAAAUAGUUUAAAUUAAUUUUUGAAGAAUAAAUAAAGCAUAAAAAAAAAAGUAUUAAAAAAAAAAGGGGGAAGAAAUAAAGAAAAGGGCCAGCCCAGUACUGAUGGCCCAGCACAGAAUUUAUUCUUUAUUUGACCUAAAAUCUUCUAGAAGGAUACAUAUCCAUUUAUAUUUACCCCAAAUAAAUCUAAUCUUGGAUUUAUGCUAGCCAACUAAUUUAGUACUCUUUUUAAGUCAUUAAGUAACAUAGAAACAACUCCUUUAUGAAAACCUUAGAAAGUUCUCAUUUUUAAACAUCACUUUUUAAAUUAACUAACUUUUUCUUGGAGUGAUAAUGUAUAUUAUUAUUAUUAAACACCCCAUCUAUGGAAAAUUAGGGAUGGUUGGAAUGUUUUUGGAAGCAGCUACUUUUGAGUUUUGACUUUUGAACACUUGAAUCAUAAAUUAUGAGCUAAAAAGUUGAAAAUCUAUAUGACUUGUUAUCUGUUAUGUUAUGACAAACGCACAAACGGAAACGAAAUUAGCGAGCACAAGAUAGACAAAUCACAAACAGAAAAUAAAGAAAAAUACAGAUUUACGUACAAAAUUCUUUACAGGAAAAAAUUACGGCGGAGAAAGGAGAGCUUCAUUAUCGAACGAAAAAGGGAAUACAAGGUUUUAGAGUACAAUCAAUCUAUCGCUCUAGGGUAAAAGGAGGAAACAAAUUCUUAAAGGGUUUCGAAUCUACACUGCGGGGGGCGGACACAGAUAACCCGAUAUUACGAGAUGAUAUGAGACUCAUCUCACACGUCAGGCUGGUAAACUGGCUCUGGUACCGAACGUAACGACCCGACCGGCUAACAAUAAUAACUCGUUGGGCUCAAAUCACCGACCCAAUAUGUUUAAGUUUAGUUAUUACAAUUGAUACUCAUGGUCUCUUAUAUUCCCAAUUAUAAUUCUAUUCUCAUUGGAAUGAAACUAUUGGGGUGUGACACCUGAUUAAACCUAUAAAAAUAAAAUGUAUUCAAAUUUUAAAAUCAAAUAUCGUCGACUGAUUCAAAUCAAACGAAUUGAAAAAUUAAGCAAUAGAAUUAAAAUUUUGAAAGGUUGGACAGCCAACACAAAAUGAUCUAUAGUACAAAUAAGUUCUAUACAUUUUUACUCUGUUUCUAUUAUACAAUUAAAUAUUAGUAAUUCAGUGUUCAUUUUAAUCAAGUAGCCCAUGCAUGUAUCCUUCACUUUUCCUUUAGUUUGAGGACCAGAAUUAAUACAAUUUUGCAUUAUAUUUGACAAAAGAGGCAUCAAGUUUCGAGUACGUCUUCUGUACUUUUCAAAGCUCGGAGGUCCCUGUGCUUUUAAAUUAUUUUCAGUAAUAAAAUAUCUGAUUCGACUAUCGGUUUCGUUAAACAUGAUUAGCGCUAUUAAUUAGAAAUUAAUUUUUUAUAAUUUUUUUACAUCUUUUACCAAGUGAUUAAAGUGCCUAAAAAAUGACUAUUCUAAUGGCUGAUGUGGUAAUUUUUGUAAGUUAAAAUUUUAAUAGAAAAUAAUUUCACUUUCUAUCAAGAGUAAAAUCAAUACUUUUCAUCUGAAAUUUGAGUCUCUUAUCAUUAUUUUUUAUAAAAUUUUUAUUUUUAAACCGUUCAUCUUGAGACUUUUCGUUUACUAGAUGGACGAAAUCAAAAAAAUUAUAUACAGCCGAAUCAGCUAUUCCAUAAACGAAAAUAACUUAAAAGUAUAAAAAUUUUUAUGCUUUCAAAAGUACAGCAGCCUACGUACUCCUAAUUAAAUACGAAAAAUAAUGAUAAUAAAAAAAAAUACACUAUAGUUGCUAAGUGGGUGAUGUAGGUGUCCAUAUAAUUAAGGAGAAAAGAUAAGGACAUAGAAAAUACACCCACCUCUUCUAGAAACUUCUUCCACCCAUAAUAUUUGUUAGGUAUGCUCCUUGGCUUUUUUGGCCCAUGAAGAGUGGUUUCAAUUAGGGCUCACAUGUCUUUUUUCUCUUCUAAUGUGAUAAUAAAUAGAUUAAUGUACAACUCCUCUUGUACAAAUUUGGUACUACCAUGUUUUAUAAAUUGAUGAUGUGACAUGUGUACAUAUUAAUUAGCUAGAUGUGUCCUUCCCAAAUGAGGGUGGUUUCUUCUACUAUGAUUAAUUUCAUACUGCUCUCUAUAAAAAUAUCGAAUAAUAGUAUAUACUUUUUUAUAAAAUUUAAGUAACAAAAUUUACUUUUUGAAAAAAUUUACGAUUUGUAAAUAUAUCCUUUCAUAAGUUUCUGAUAUGUUAAUAUUUAUUUCUGUUGUUUGAUCUACUAUUAUUUUUUUAAUGAGUGUUCUGAAAAUUAACUAUUUUAUCCUUAUAAAUUUAUUCUUGCAAAAAACCUAUCUACUUCCUCUCUCCUUUUAUCUGAGCAGUCGAUCAUGUGACUAACCUAACUCGUCUUCACCGCCAUAAGCGCUGCCACCAUCCUGGACAAAGAGGAGAGAGAGAGAGAAAGAUGAUAGGAUUCCACUUAUUUGUUUUCGAUGAUGAAGCCGCCAAAUCGACGAUCGAUACUGUUGAACAUGAUCUACACCACUUGAAACAUCUAGAAACCAAAUUUCAUACUUUUUUCGAUAUUGUUCUCUUCAUCAAGUGGACAUAAAAUGAAUGGCUGAAAAUAAAUAUUCUUUAAAAAGUGAUGAUAGGAAUCUUAUAAUCAAGAUUAAGAGUAUAGAUCUUAUUCUAAAUAGUUUAAAAAAUUUUCAAACCAAAAUUCAAUCAUUUGUAUAUCUUUACACCGUGUUAAACGAGAAAACGCCUCAUAUCGACUAUUAAAAUUAUAAAUUUUGAAACCAUUUGAUCAUUAGAUUAAUGAUGUCAAAAAGAUUUGAAAUUUAAUUUUUAGAUACUUCAAGUGGUGUAGAUUAUGUUCAAUGGUACUGAUAUAUAUAUAUAUAUAGGGUCCGGCUACUAUACUAUUAUGAGUACGAUCGUCCUCGUACUCAUAAGUUGUUUUCGAUGAUAGAGCUUCCGAGAAAACGAUGCCCUCGUUAAUUGAUAUAAAGUAUUGUAACAUUUUACAAAUAAAUUUUCGUAAUUUUCGAAAUAGCAGUAAUAAAAUCCAAUCAGCGCGGGCAUAAAUGAAUGGGUCAAAUCGAACGAAUUCUAAAAAAUGGGAAAUGUAUCGGAUCUUCAAUUUAAGAAGUGGAGUUAUUUGAUCUUUAUCUAGGUAGUGAAUAGAAUUUUCUACUCAAGUUUCAACCUUUAUUCGAUUAUUUCACAUUUAAACUAGAAGUGAUCCGCAUACGGGCCGUUAAAAUUGUCCAAAUGUGAGCUUUAUGUUAAGUGUUUAAAUGAUGUUGCAAAAUUAUGAAAUUUGUUUCUUAGAAGGUUUAUAAAUGUUUCUAGAUAACGUUUUAACGGUGUGGAUCGUCGUUGUCGAGCUCUUAGAUUAUCGAAAACAACUUAUAGUACGAGAGCGAUCGUAUCAUAAGGCGUUUAUGUAGCCGCGACGUAUAUAUAUAUAUAGUAUAUAAUUAUAUAUAUUAUAUGAUAUAUAUAUAAUUAAGGAAUGAGUGGGACCUUCUAAGGUGGAGUGGGUGGUUGUUUAUAGUAUAAUUAACGGUGUGAAAAGGAUUAAUGGUAUCUAACGGAGAAAUCUGGCUAGCACCAGUUGUUCGCUGGCUAUUAAUAGUUUAUUAGCGCUCCGGGAUUAUAUAAUAUAUAUAUUAUAUAUCAUACUAUAUAUAUAUUAUAUAAGUUAUAUAAUAUACUUAUAUAUAUAUCAAGUACAAAUAAUAUAAGUGUAAUACUGAAUAGUAUUAUACUCUUCUUGAACCGUAGAUCUAAGUACAAUUCGAGAAUUGAGAUAAAACAAUGGCAACUUUUUUUGUUUCUAUCUUAAGACACUCUUUCAUAGGAUAUGACACCACUUUAUUAGCUUUGGAUGUAACACCACUUUCUUACUGCAUAGUUUUAUUUUUCUUUUUUUGAGUUUCUGAGUAUGAAAGUUUACAUAAUCUUUUUUAUCUCAUGCUCAAGUAUAAGGUUUGUUACUGUAAUUAUUUGCAUUAACUUAAUUUUAUGUGCACAUAAAACAUUCAUUUUUUCGAAAGUGUGAAAGCAUCUAAAGACGUUUAACAGUAAAACAUAUUAUAAAAGGGUUAUUCGAACUUUACUUUGUUAAUAAUUUCUUAAAAAUUUUAUUUAUUUUAAUGUGAAUUGUUGCAGUCAAUUAAAUUUUAAAUUUUUUAUAAAAUUAAUUUGCAGUGUAUUAAAAUGAAUUGCAACCAUCCAAAAAUGAUAACAUUAUUGUGAAAAUACUUACAGAGAAAAAACUAGGGUGUAAUUUUUACACCCAUUCAUCCUAGAAUUUAAAUAUCCCUUUUAUCACUUUUGAGUUGUUAAUAGAAAAAAAAUAAAUUAUUGUGAAAAUACUAUUCCUUAUAUGGAUAGAAUGUAAAAUUUAUUCACACUUUUUAAAAUACUAACCUUUUAUAUUUUUCAAGAUAUUUUAAGAUUUAUAAUAAUAAUAGUAAUAUAUAAGACUUUAAAAAUUUGCAAUUUAGGCCAAAUGAAAUAAGAGAUACCAUUACACAUAUAAAAACAAUGAUAAAAAUACUUAAAAAUGUUUAUACAAGAACACAAUGACCAAUUAAUGGGAUGACAUUACAACAAAGGCAGUGUAUAGCAACACCUUUAAAUAUCGGUAUAGGUCAAAAAAAAGUGUUACUGAUUAAAUUACCGACACUUUUACAAGUGUUGUUAUAUAUGGGGCAGCUAUAGGUAGGGCCACUUUGAUAUUUGGCACCCACUCCUUCAGCGACCUAUGGCAGAGGGAUACGUGGCGAUUGUAGCGCUCUACGAUCUCUGCAAGAUCCUCAUGGCCGAACUUCAGCCGCCGGAAUCCUAUCUCGUCAACUACGGCAUCGGAGAAGGAGAAGAGGAGAUGAUGAUCAAUAUUUUUUUUCUAUUUAUUUGUAAUCAGACCGAGUGGGCUGGGUGUGGUUGGUAGACAUAGUAAAUUUUUUUGGUUUUUAUUAGAUUGGGCUUUAUAUUUAGAUCUUAAUAGAUGUUUUAAAAAAAAUUUGGCAUAAAUGGAACACUUAUAUAAAAGUAUCAUAAAAAUGUGUUUCUUUAACCUAAUUCGGUUGUAGCGAGAGAAAGGAUAAAUCUAUAAUUUCAAUAGUUUGUAGGGACAUAUUAAUAAUUUUUUCUAUAUAUUACUAUUAGUACCAAUGCGAUAUCAAUAACACAGCUAAUUUUAAUAUUAAUAAAUAGAUUCAUUAACUAUUAUUAUUAUUGACAGAUCAAAUUUAAUCGGACUAAAAUCCGAACCGAAAGUAAUUUUUUCUCUUUAUUAUAUUUUAAAAUAUAUUAUAUUAAAAUUUAAAAUUUUAAAACACAAGUGCAAAUAUUUGUAUAUAUUAUAUUAAAAUCAAUCCCAGCUUAAAUCGAACUCGAAUUCGAAUUCGGAUUCGGGUCGAAUAAAGACAAAAUCCACAUAUAAAUUCAAAUCCAUUGUAUUUUUAUUUUUUAUACUAGUAUGAUACUAUCCGAAAUUAUAUCCGUAUAAUAUUAAAUAAAUUCAGAAUUCGGAUUCUGAUAAAAUUUUGAAUUAUUCUUCCCCGUUAACAAUCCCGUGUAUUAUUAUUAUGCAAGCGUAGGGAACCGGAGGCGGGAGGGUUCUCCGACCUCCCGCUCCAUUUCUUUUUGGGGCAGAGCAAAUUGAGGAUGAAUUAUUUUUUAUUUUAUUUUUGGCCUCACUUACAAAUCGGAAUAGAUUGAAAGAAGAAAAGAGUCUCCUGUCUCUCGCUUCAUUUAUUUGACGGAUCAAAACAGAUUCGGAAUGAAUUAUAUUUUUCUAUAUUUUUUAUUUCCACUUAUCGCCCUAUUCAGAAUGGAUCUGGUGGAAGCUCCACCAAUUCGAAUCCAUUUGCAUCCCUACAGGAGUGUGGCAAAAUUCUAUAUUUAUUUAUGAAAAAACUUUAAAUAUCACCCCUAUAGUUUCACACUUUUCCACUUUAGUACUCUGUGAUUUACAUACAAUCUAAAUAUCUCAAAAUACGCAUAUAUUUUAAAUUUUUAUAAUAAUUGAAAAAAAUUAUAUUAAUUUUUUUAAAAAAUUUUACUUUUCAAAAUUAAUAGAAAAAGAAUUAAAAAUAAAAUUUAAAAAAUAUUAAAAAAAGGGGUGGGCCCCACCUGCCUGGGCCCACGCCCUCUCUCCUUCCCGCUUCCCACUUCCGGCUCGCCCUCCACCCCCCGCAUGCCCGCUCCCCGCACGCGCGCGCCACGCCGCGCCCCGCCCGCCCGCCUGCCCGCGCCGCGCGCUCGCACUCGCCCUCGCCCGCGCCUCCGCGCUCGCGGCCAUCUGUUCCAAAACUGAGGAUUCAUAUAUACUAUAUACUAUAUACAAGAAAAGCGGUUGUACUUAUCUUUCACACCCUAGGGACACGUGGCGCGAUUUUGUUGGAUGGAUCCAGCGAUACCCGGUGUACGAAUAGCACAGCUACAGAUCAAUUUUAGUACGGACACUACCGAACGUAAACGCACGUAAAACCGCGCACCCAAAGUAAACCUGCACACGUGGACCUCUUGUUUGAACUCUCCACGUGCUGGUCACAUUUUCGGGUCCGAUUCUGCGGUGCGAGGAAUCUCGGGGAGCGCGCCGAGGAGGAGGGGAAAGCAUCCGCGGGAGCGUAUCUGGCGGGAAACUCGGGGUGCGGGUCCACCUAUCAGUGGGGCCCACAAGAAUUUAUUUCUUGAACCGCGUGUACCAUGAACGCGCCUCAGAUUCGCGAGCCCGCUCGUGUUUGGCUCUGAAUGAGUUCGAGAUCGACCGAUCGUUUAUAUAUUAAACGAGCCAAAUACGAGAUAAAGUUUUUCAACUUAAAAUCUUAACGCUAGCUCAUGUUGGGCUCUAUAUGGCUCGAAAAUAAAUAUAUAUUACAAGUUUACACUAUUUGAAUUUUUAGGCCAACCUAAAUGUAAAAAAAAAUUUAUUUUUUGUGAAUUUUAAUUAUUAGAUUAACAUUCUAAUUUCUUUUUUUUUUUUCAAAUUUUCACUCAGUAAUAAAAUUGACAAUCUAAUUUGUUUUUCGCAAGCGAGGUUAUAUUCGGCUCGUUAAUAAAUAAGCUGAACAAGAACUAAAUUUUUCAGCUUAGUAUUUUAAUGAGUCCGCUCAUGUUUGGCUCGUUGAUAGCUCUACACCAUACAGACUCAAAAUUAGUAUUUGGUAUGAAUUAUUUAUAUCUAGUAUCAUAAUAACAAAUAUUAAUUAAAUAAUAUUUUAUAUAACUCAAUGAUGUCAUGCUAUAUAUAUAAUCAGUUCCAGAUCACCUAACAAAGAGAUCGUGUACUAUAUAUAUGAUUAAGUCUGCGAUACUCAAUAGUCCCGCUGGAAUGUGUGUGAUCGAAUCAGACUAGGAGCCUAUUUAAUCGAGUCGGCAGUUUAAACCUAACAAGUUAUUAAUAUUAAUUAAUAGAUAAUUAAAGAACCUAACCAUGGAAUGUUUACACUAUUUUAAUUAUUUAAUCGAGUCACCAGGGAUAUGUGUGAAAUUACACUUUUAUUUAAAUUAUUAUUAUAAAUUGUGAGGUCCGGUGCAUGAAGUGUACGGAUGGACCGGGUGCAGGGGUGAAAUUUAUGCGGGAACUACGCCCACUCCAGGUACGCCCGUCCUUAGAUAGGUACGGGCGCAUGCGGACGCCACGUUGGGUGGGGCCCGCACCACCACAAGAGAGAAAAAGCGGUACGGAAUGACCUCACAAAAAAAAAAAAAACGACACAGCACUUUAUUUAUUUAUUUAUUUAUUUAUUUAUUUAACUAAAUUAAUAUUUAACAUUUAUUUAUUAAUUUAGGAGGUGUGGAUUUGAGAAGUUUCCUCCUUUUCUCUUUAACCCCCAACUUCUAUUUAUUUACACCACACAGUCCUUUGACCUCUGCAUAAAUUUCUGUACAAAAAGUUAUUAAGAAGGUAAACAAACAUUUUAUUUAAAAUUACUCUCUCCAACUGCUGUAGUUGGAGCUGCAACUAAUUUGGGCGCAGUUUUAGCUACUGCAAUUGAGUCUCCUUGUGCAGUUUCAAUUGCAGCAGUUGAAUCAAAUACAUCGAACUAAACAUGAGAUUUGAAUCUACAUGCAGUUGCAAUUACGCACAACCAAGCAGCCCCUUACUUUCUCUGACAGUUUAAGUUAGUACUAGAGAGAGAGUAGGUCUUGCGUAAUAUUAGGAGCACGGAGAUCUCCGUGCUUCUAAUCAUUUUUUACGAUAAUGGAGUUUUCGAAUCGACGAUCAGUUCCGUUAGACUUGAUCUAGCGUAUUUGAAGUAUAUAGAAAAUAAUUCUUGUAAUUUUUUUAUAUUAUUUACCUAGCAAUAGAAAGGGUUCAAAAUCAAUAAUUUUUAAUGAUUGAUAUGUAUUGUUAAUUUGCAAGUUUAACAGUAUAGAAAUAUUCAAAUCGGAUGAAAUUUCGACAUAAAUUUUUUUAUACAAUCUACUACAAGAUUAUUAUCUGUGAUCGAAAAUUUUAAUGCUAUAUCACCACUUUUUGUGAGAUUUUUAUUUUCAGCUAUUGAUUUUGAACUCUUUCAAUCGCUAGGUAAAUAAUAUCGAAAAAUUACAAAAUUUAUUUUUUAGCUAAUUCUAAUACGUUAAAUCAAGUCUUACGGAGCCGAUCGUCGAUUCGGUCACACAAGACCACUCUUAGAGAUCAAAAUAUCUUACAUUAUUUAACGUAAUACAAAGCUGAGGUUCUUAGUUUGAGUCUCGUCGGACUCCUAGUUUUGGAAAGAAAAACUUCAGUGGGGAGCUCUCCAGCAAAGCCUCGUUGAGGAGCUCUCGAUUCGCUUGUAUCUGCCGGCUUUGCCUCUAUCUCUUGGGAUUUAAAAUUUUUUUUUUUUUGGAGAUUUUAAUAUUAAAAAAAUAUUCAACCAAAUCUUGGAUAUAGUUAAAUUUCUCCAAUAAAUUCAUUUAAUUUCACAUGAGGGUUAAACUACUAGUAGUAGUAUCCUCAUCAAAACAUUAAAAAAGAAAAAAAAAAAAAGAAAGAAAAGAAAUGGUCAAACUCCCCAAUUUUUUAGCAAAAAUAAACGUGCGUGGAAUUCAAAUACCUACGUCCCAAGUAACACACGCUGAGACAAAACCUUAUACAUAAAUUUUUCGUAAAUUCCAUGUGUUUUGAAAAUAUAUAUAUGAAAAAAUGAAGGGUAUUUUGCAAGAUGGUCCCUAUACUCUCUUUUAAUUCAAGUACUAUAGUUUCUAAAGUAUACAUAUAUAUAUAUAACUAUCAAUUUUUGACUGUAACAGAUUUAAAACGAUACAUAGUUUAGACAACUUCUAUACAAUUUUACCUAAAAUUCAAAAAUAAAAAAAAUUAACUUAUUAUAAUUACAAAAAUUAUUUAUAACAACAGUAGUUUUUACUGCAUGUGACUAAACAAAAUAUAUAUAAUUAUAACUGCUAUAUUUUUAAUUAUAUAUAAUUAUAUAUAUAACUAAUCGUCCCUUAUUAUACUAUGUGGCAGAAGUUGAGCUUUUUUAAGUUCAGUGACAAAAAUAUUGAAACAAAAUGAAUAUAUAGGCACUAAAUAGCAAUAUUAGGGUAAUACAGGGACUACUUUUAUAUUUUUUUUUCCCCUAAUUUAGAAUGAGAACAAAUUAAAAAUAAUAAUUAAGGUGCAAAAAUUAAAAAAAGAAUUUGGAUGCUAAUAUAGGAUGCUAAAUUUUCAUUACUAUAUCUAAUUCAGAAUUUGGAUCAAUAAUUUAUAUUACGGUAUCUCAUGAGAGGAGUCCGUCUACUGUACUUUCGAAAGUACUGGGACCUACGUGCUUGUAAGUUAUUUUCGAUGAUAGGACAUCUGAUUCGACGGUCAGUUCCGUUAAGUAUAAUCUACCCUAUUGGAACUAUCUAGAAACCAAAUUUUAUAAUUUUUGGACAUCAUUUACUAAGUGAUCAAAAGGUCCCAAAAAUGACUAUUUUAACGGCCGAUGCGGCACGUUUUUAAGUUCAACAGUGUAUCCAAAUUACAUGAAAAUUUAAAAGAAAAUUCUACUUAACGUCAAUAGCAAGAUCAAUACUUCCGAUUUGAAGUUUGAGUUUUUUAUCAUUAUUUUUUAUGAGAUUUUUAUUUUCAGCCGUUCAUUUUGAGGCUACUUGUUCACUAGGCAAAUGAAGUCAAAAAAUUAUGAAAUUUGGUUUCUAAAUAAUUCCAAUAGCGUAGAUCAUGUCUAACGGAACCAAUCGCCGAAUCAGACGUCCCAUCAUCGAAAACAACUUAGAAGUACGGAGGGCCCCGUACUUUCGAAAGCAUAGGAGACUAGCUCCUCAUGAGAGUUGUGAUUUCUGGCUCGUCUACAAUCCAAUUUAACUGAAUAAAUUUUAACUUACUGUUAAUAUAAAAGUAAUAUGACAUCUUAAUUAUUUAUGUAUAAUCAAUCAAAAUAUUACUGCGUUACUUCCACAUUAGUGAUAUAACGAUAUUUAGUCAACUAAAACGGGAUGCAGAACUUGAUUGCAAUAAUUCUAAAAAUUUAAACUAAAAUUUAAAACAAAAUAAAAUUUAAGGACGGAAAUUUUAGUUUGAGAGCCAAAUUUGUAAUUUACCCUAACUUUUACAUAAGGUCAAAAUACUAAAAAUUCACAUAUAAAUACUUUUUUUUUCCGACUUUUAAAAAAAAUUAUAUCACGGUUGCGUCACUAUUUCGUCUAUUUUUUUGUAAUUUAUACCGAAAAGAAUUUUUAAUUUUUUUUUUUUUACAAAAUAAGCAAAGUCAAUUCAGUCAUUUUCGCGUAACUCUUAUUAAAGAUAAUUUCAAAAUUUUUGCAAAUUAAAAAAAAUAAAAAAAUAAAAAUUUAUAUAAUAUAUAUUUUUUGUAUUUUAAUUUUUUUACGUAA
rnacentral:lncRNA from 1 species